GACGGAGGAUGCGAGCGUUAAUCGGAAUUACUGGGCGUAAAGCGCACGCAGGCGGUUUGUUAAGCUAGAUGUGAAAGCCCCGGGCUCAACCUGGGAUGGUCAUUUAGAACUGGCAGACUAGAGUCUUGGAGAGGGGAGUGGAAUUCCAGGUGUAGCGGUGAAAUGCGUAGAUAUCUGGAGGAACAUCAGUGGCGAAGGCGACUCCCUGGCCAAAGACUGACGCUCAUGUGCGAAAGUGUGGGUAGCGAACAGG
rnacentral:rRNA from 1 species